AAAUUGAAGAGUUUGAUCAUGGCUCAGAUUGAACGCUGGCGGCAGGCCUAACACAUGCAAGUCGAGCGGAAACGAGUUAACUGAACCUUCGGGGGACGAUAACGGCGUCGAGCGGCGGACGGGUGAGUAAUGCCUAGGAAAUUGCCCUGAUGUGGGGGAUAACCAUUGGAAACGAUGGCUAAUACCGCAUGAUGCCUACGGGCCAAAGAGGGGGACCUUCGGGCCUCUCGCGUCAGGAUAUGCCUAGGUGGGAUUAGCUAGUUGGUGAGGUAAGGGCUCACCAAGGCGACGAUCCCUAGCUGGUCUGAGAGGAUGAUCAGCCACACUGGAACUGAGACACGGUC
rnacentral:rRNA from 1 species